UAGGGAAUCUUCCACAAUGGACGCAAGUCUGAUGGAGCAACGCCGCGUGAGUGAAGAAGGUUUUCGGAUCGUAAAGCUCUGUUGUUGGUGAAGAAGGAUAGAGGCAGUAACUGGUCUUUAUUUGACGGUAAUCAACCAGAAAGUCACGGCUAACUACGUGCCAGCAGCCGCGGUAAUACGUAGGUGGCAAGCGUUGUCCGGAUUUAUUGGGCGUAAAGCGAGCGCAGGCGGAACGAUAAGUCUGAUGUGAAAGCCCACGGCUCAACCGUGGAACUGCAUCGGAAACUGUCAUUCUUGAGUGCAGAAGAGGAGAGUGGAAUUCCAUGUGUAGCGGUGGAAUGCGUAGAUAUAUGGAAGAACAUCAGUGGCGAAGGCGGCUCUCUGGUCUGCAACUGACGCUGAGGCUCGAAAGCAUGGGUAGCGAACAGG
rnacentral:rRNA from 1 species